GACGAACGCUGGCGGCGUGCUUAACACAUGCAAGUCGUACGGUAAGGCCCUUUCGGGGGUACACGAGUGGCGAACGGGUGAGUAACACGUGAGUAACCUGCCCACAACUUUGGGAUAACGCUAGGAAACUGGUGCUAAUACUGGAUAUGUGCUCCUGCUGCAUGGUGGGGGUUGGAAAGCUCCGGCGGUUGUGGAUGGACUCGCGGCCUAUCAGCUUGUUGGUGGGGUAGUGGCCUACCAAGGCGGCGACGGGUAGCCGGCCUGAGAGGGUGACCGGCCACAUUGGGACUGAGAUACGGCCCAGACUCCUACGGGAGGCAGCAGUGGGGAAUAUUGCACAAUGGGCGCAAGCCUGAUGCAGCAACGCCGCGUGCGGGAUGACGGCCUUCGGGUUGUAAUCCGCUUUCAGCAGGGACGAAGCUUUUUGUGACGGUACCUGCAGAAGAAGCACCGGCUAACUACGUG
rnacentral:rRNA from 1 species